rnacentral:sRNA from 1 species
CGGGAUGAGUAGCUUGUUCGACAGUUCGGCAGGAUAGCCGAACUGAACGUCGCUAUAAGCGACGGCCCGAAGGGCGAGGGGCAGGAGCCCCGAGUAAACCCG